rnacentral:rRNA from 1 species
GACGAACGCUGGCGGCGUGCUUAACACAUGCAAGUCGAACGGUGACCCUCGGAGCUUGCUUCGGGGUGAGCAGUGGCGAACGGGUGAGUAACACGUGAGUAACCUGCCCCUGACUCUGGAAUAAGCGCUGGAAACGGCGUCUAAUACCGGAUACGACACGCCUCCGCAUGGGGAGCGUGUGGAAAGUUUUUCGGUCUGGGAUGGACUCGCGGCCUAUCAGCUUGUUGGUGAGGUAAUGGCUCACGAAGGCGAUGACGGGUAGCCGGCCGGAGAGGGCGACCGGCCACACUGGGACUGAGACACGGCCCAGACUCCUACGGGAGGCAGCAGUGGGGAAUAUUGCACAAUGGGCGAAAGCCUGAUGCAGCGACGCCGCGUGAGGGAUGACGGCCUUCGGGUUGUAAACCUCUUUCAGCAGGGAAGAAGCGAAAGUGACGGUACCUGCAGAAGAAGCACCGGCUAACUACGUGCCAGCCGCCGCCGUAA